rnacentral:RNase_P_RNA from 1 species
GGAGUCGGCUGGACAGUCGCGGCUUGGCGCAUGCGUCAGGCGGAGGAAAGUCCGGGCUCAACAGGGCAGGGUGCCAGGUAACGCCUGGGGGGCGAGAGCCUACGGAAAGUGCCGCAGAAAACAAACCGCCAACCCCGCGCGAGCGGGCGGUAAGGGUGAAAAGGUGCGGUAAGAGCGCACCGCGUCCGUGGCAACACGCGACGGCAGGGUAAACCCCACCCGGAGCAAGACCAAAUAGGGGAGCGAGCAGCUUUGGCUGCGACAUGCGGCCCGCAUGGGCUCCCGGGUAGGUCGCUUGAGGCGCGGGGUGACCCGCGUCCCAGAUGAAUGACUGUCCACGACAGAACCCGGCUUACAGGCCGGCUCCCUAC